rnacentral:rRNA from 1 species
UACCAGCACCCCGAGUGGUCGGGACGAUUAUUGGGCCUAAAGCAUCCGUAGCCGGUUCUACAAGUCUUCCGUUAAAUCCACCUGCUCAACAGAUGGGCUGCGGAGGAUACUACAAGGCUAGGAGGCGGAAGAGGCAAGCGGUACUCAGUGGGUAGGGGUAAAAUCCUCUGAUCCAUUGAAGACCACCAGUGGCGAAGGCGGCUUGCCAAUACGCGCUCGACGGUGAGGGAUGAAAGCUGGGGGAGCAAACCGG